rnacentral:lncRNA from 1 species
UGUUAACAAGAGAUAUAUUUGCAAGUCUAAUUUGAAGAUUCUGUUACAGAUUUAAUAUAGCAUCUGUUAGAUAUCAAGGUGUAAUGCUGGCUUCCUCCACUUAUCCAGUUCAAAAACACGAAACACGUUUUUCAAAAUUAAAGAUUGCUUUAAUCCGUUUAGCAUAAAAUUGCUGAAAGAAGAAAAAGCUCGCUAAUGUUCCGUGUGUUUAGAAGGAAGAAGAGGAGAAUAAAAAAACGGAAAUUGCAGAUUCCAGUAAUUACUUUUCGUUAUCUAUACCCACUUACGUCUUCGGAUCUAUUCUUAGAGUGCUUAUGCAACAGAUUUACAGAAAAUCAAUGGUCGAUUGUUUAUUGGUUUGAUGGAAGUGCUUCAUUGUGUUCCAUCCUGUCUUGCAGUCACCAGUUCCUACGAGACGUACACUGUAUUGUUAAGUCGUUAGGAUGAUGGUUCUGUUCCAGACUGACGUCUAAUUAUCCAGGAAUUGCACUCACGGUUUGUCUGAUGACGACGUCUGGGCGGGUUUUAUGAUGUUUCUACAUAGUCUGCAGUCGUGUUAUUCCAUCAGACUCUGUUGUUGUUUCUUACUACCUGGGUCACAACCGUCAGAAUUUUUUAAGGGAAGAAAGAAAAAUCCAUCUAAACAUUAAAUGUUCAAAACGACUGGGAGUAAUAUAUAUAUGUAAGAAAGUGUAUUUUCUGCGACAAUUUAAAGAUUAAUGCACUAUUAAAGUGACUGGUGUCGCAGUUGCACAUUGUUUUUUUUUCCUCCCCACUCUUCCAUCCAUAAAACUUUCAAGGCAUACAGUCUUAAUGACUUGCGUAAUGAGCCGUUUAUACCACCAACAGCUGAGACGUAAUGUAAAGAUCAUAAAUGUUAAUAGAGAAUAAAAGUUAGAUGGACUUUUAUUAGUGGAACCACUCACCAUUCCAACUUCGCACACGCAUACUCGCACAGGCGAGUAUAUGUACUCGCAUAUGCAUAUUGAUUGUUUUGAUCACGUUGCGCCGGACACAAUGACCCUUUUUUUUUGCCAUUUGUGCGUGCGUGUUUUGUAUAUCCUCGUUAUAGUUAAUCCGCUUAGAGUUAAAGUUAAAAAAAAGCCGAGAAGAUAAUUAAAAACGCAGUUAAACCAUGGCGAGAUAACAGUAUCAAUGUGGAUGCCGUGAUUGAUGACGACGAUAUUUACCCCCUCUUAAUAUAGUAUAUCGGCGUGGUGCUUCAUUAAAAUGCAAUCUGGACAUGUUUCUUUUUUAUAGCUGCAGUGCAGCACAGUGACGUCGUAGAAGAAAAUAUGGUGGUGAUCAAAAUGAUUGAAGUUGUAGUCUCUCGAGACGAGAAUUUCUUCGCUGCGGUGUUUCACUUGUCAAGCAGAUGAUCCGCAUCCGCAUCACUUGUUCAGUUUACGAGUUUUUCUCCUACGGUUACAGUUUCCACUUAUAAAAUACAAUAAAUUCUCACUGUCCCGUUCGUGUUCGGUGUGUUACUACUCGGAGAAAAAGUAUUUGUAAGUGGAAAUUUAGAAAAAAAAAAAAAAAGAAAACCUCUUGUAUGGCUUUGUUAAGAGUCAUCCUACCGUAAUAAUCUGUCAUGCUGUCGAAGAAGUUGAGAGAUCGUUAUAGUCUUUAGAAAAUUUCUAGAGGAGGAUUUUCGACGCUUUAUUUGGCAGAUUGCAUCAUUCCAAUUUAACAGCUUCAAUGUAUCGUGAGAAUACCCUGAAUUAUUUUAAUCUAGAUAAAAUCUUUAUCCGUCAUCGCAAGAGAUUGCAAUUCAGUUUUUGAAGAGUUUCAUACGAGUUUUUUCUUUUUUUUCCC